rnacentral:rRNA from 1 species
GACGAACGCUGGCGGCGUGCUUAACACAUGCAAGUCGAACGGAAAGGCCCUGCUUUUGUGGGGUGCACGAGUGGCGAACGGGUGAGUAACACGUGAGUAACCUGCCCUUGACUUUGGGAUAACUUCAGGAAACUGGGGCUAAUACCGGAUAGGAGCUCCUGCUGCAUGGUGGGGGUUGGAAAGUUUCGGCGGUUGGGGAUGGACUCGCGGCUUAUCAGCUUGUUGGUGGGGUAGUGGCUUACCAAGGCUUUGACGGGUAGCCGGCCUGAGAGGGUGACCGGCCACAUUGGGACUGAGAUACGGCCCAGACUCCUACGGGAGGCAGCAGUGGGGAAUAUUGCACAAUGGGCGGAAGCCUGAGGCAGCAACGCCGCGUGCGGGAUGACGGCCUUCGGGUUGUAAACCGCUUUCGCCUGUGACGAAGCGUGAGUGACGGUAAUGGGUAAAGAAGCACCGGCUAACUACGUG